rnacentral:rRNA from 1 species
GCCUUUCGGGGUACACGAGCGGCGAACGGGUGAGUAACACGUGGGUGAUCUGCCCUGCACUUCGGGAUAAGCCUGGGAAACUGGGUCUAAUACCGGAUAUGACCUCCUAUCGCAUGGUGGGUGGUGGAAAGAUUUAUCGGUGCAGGAUGGGCCCGCGGCCUAUCAGCUUGUUGGUGGGGUAAUGGCCUACCAAGGCGACGACGGGUAGCCGACCUGAGAGGGUGACCGGCCACACUGGGACUGAGACACGGCCCAGACUCCUACGGGAGGCAGCAGUGGGGAAUAUUGCACAAUGGGCGAAAGCCUGAUGCAGCGACGCCGCGUGAGGGAUGACGGCCUUCGGGUUGUAAACCUCUUUCAGCAGGGACGAAGCGCAAGUGACGGUACCUGCAGAAGAAGCACCGGCUAACUACGUGCCAGCAGCCGCGGUAAUACGUAGGGUGCAAGCGUUGUCCGGAAUUACUGGGCGUAAAGAGUUCGUAGGCGGUUUGUCGCGUCGUUUGUGAAAACCAGCAGCUCAACUGCUGGCUUGCAGGCGAUACGGGCAGACUUGAGUACUGCAGGGGAGACUGGAAUUCCUGGUGUAGCGGUGAAAUGCGCAGAUAUCAGGAGGAACACCGGUGGCGAAGGCGGGUCUCUGGGCAGUAACUGACGCUGAGGAACGAAAGCGUGGGUAGCGAACAGGAUUAGAUACCCUGGUAGUCCACGCCGUAAACGGUGGGCGCUAGGUGUGGGUUCCUUCCACGGAAUCCGUGCCGUAGCUAACGCAUUAAGCGCCCCGCCUGGGGAGUACGGCCGCAAGGCUAAAACUCAAGGAAUUGACGGGGGCCCGCACAAGCGGCGGAGCAUGUGGAUAAAUUCGAUGCAACGCGAAGAACCUUACCUGGGUUUGACAUAUACCGGAAAGCUGCAGAGAUGUGGCCCCCUUGUGGUCGG